rnacentral:lncRNA from 1 species
UUGGGUCAACAUCCUUCAAUUACAAGUAUGCUCGUGUUGUUUUCCAGGUGAAAGCUGGUGAAGAUUCCAGGGCAAAAAAAGGUUAAGGGCAUCCUGAAGCAUAUGCUAUGCUUAUAAGUGGAGAGGAGGGAUCUUCUCAUCUACAAGAAGAAAUUUUUGUGGUGUAACUGAAGAACAUGUUGGUUUUCCCCUGUAGGCAAAAUCAAGUUUUUAACUGCAAGCAAGCAAACCAAAGAGCAGGUUCAGGACCCACCAAGAUGUCUGCUGGAACAGGCGGUGCAGAUCUGACCAUCCUUAUUCCAGAAAAUGUCAGCUGGGGGCAAGCACGUUGCAAAUGAAGGUGAAGGAGGCAUGAAGACUGGAGGUUGUGAUUUUGCGCUCUACAGUCUGAGCACC